CAUCACCGGGGCUUUGUCCCGGCCGUGAGCCAGCGGGGAAGGGCUCUGGAUUUCUGUCUCCACCUGUCCCUGCCUCACCCACGGGCUGCGGAGAACCCUGUUAGUCACCAGAGUCACCCAAGUGUCAGCCAGCAGUGUCACCCACGUUAACCCAGAGUUAACCGAACCCACACAUUACCCAUGCUUCUGUCAAACCUUUUGAUAACUAUCACAGACACAAAGCUCUGCACGAGUGAUACCAGGAAUACUGAGCCAGCCAUAUGUGUUGCUGGGCAUCAGAUGGAAGCCUAGCCUUUUUCUUCAAACCUUCUGCUUUUAUGCAGCCACCUUUGCUUCACAGCUUCUCAGGUAACCAGACUGAACAUCUGUACAGCCCAUGGCUGGCCCACAUUCUGUCAAAAAAUCUUUAGGGAAGUGACAGACAUCUGUCUCUUCAGAAUGUGGAUACAGAAGAAUUCCUUUGUGUCACCUCAGUACACCUAAUGCUUAGAAAAUGGAGGAGGAGCACAUGUAUGUCUUGUAGAAAUCCAAGAAUGCAAUCCUGGAGCAUGCAAACCGACAGCUUUAGUGUAUUUUAAACACAAAUUCAGAG